UACGUAGGGGGCUAGCGUUGUCCGGAUUUAUUGGGCGUAAAGAGCGUGUAGGCGGCCAGAUAGGUCCGUUGUGAAAACUGGAGGCUUAACCUCCAGCUGUCGAUGGAAACCAUCUGGCUAGAGUCCGGAAGAGGUGAGUGGAAUUCCUGGUGUAGCGGUGAAAUGCGCAGAUAUCAGGAAGAACACCUAUGGCGAAGGCAGCUCUCUGGGACGGUACUGACGCUGAGACGCGAAAGCGUGGGGAGCGAACAGG
rnacentral:rRNA from 1 species